CCUACGGGAGGCUGCAGUGGGGAAUUUUGGACAAUGGGGGCAACCCUGAUCCAGCCAUGCCGCGUGCGGGAAGAAGGCCUUCGGGUUGUAAACCGCUUUCGGCCGGAACGAAAUCGCCGGGGAGAACAUCCCCGGUGGAUGACGGUACCGGAAGAAGAAGCGCCGGCUAACUACGUGCCAGCAGCCGCGGUAAUACGUAGGGUGCUUGCGGUGCUCGGAGUUACUGGGGGUGAUGCGUGAACACGGGGUUGAAAUCCCCGGGCUUAACCUGGGAACUGCGUUUGUGACUGGCGGGCUGGAGUGCGGAAGAGGGAGGUGGAAUUCCACGUGUAGCAGUGAAAUGCGUAGAGAUGUGGAGGAACACCGAUGGCGAAGGCAGCCUCCUGGUCUAGCACUGACGCUCAUGCACGAAAGCGUGGGGAGCAAACAGGAUUAGAUACCCUUGUAGUC
rnacentral:rRNA from 1 species